rnacentral:rRNA from 1 species
GGGGAAGUUCCGAGACAGGUGCUGCAUGGCUGUCGUCAGCUCGUGCCGUGAGGUGUUGGGUUUAAGGUCCCGCAACGAGCGCAACCCCUAUUGCCAGUUGCUACCAGGUAAUGCUGGGCACUCUGGUGAGACUGCCCCGGUUAACGGGGAGGAAGGUGGGGACGACGUCAAGUCAUCAUGGCCCUUACGCCUAGGGCUACACACGUACUACAAUGGCGCAUACAAAGGGCAGCGAUACCGCGAGGUGGAGCCAAUCCCAAAAAGUGCGUCCCAGUCCGGAUUGCGGUCUGCAACUCGACUGCAUGAAGUUGGAAUCGCUAGUAAUUCGAGAUCAGCAUGCUCGGGUGAAUGCGUUCCCGGGCCUU